ensembl:miRNA gga-mir-34b gga-mir-34b
GUGCUUGGUUUGCAGGCAGUGUAGUUAGCUGAUUGUACCCAGCGCCCCACAAUCACUAAAUUCACUGCCAUCAAAACAAGGCAC